GAGUUUUAUUCUUGCUCAAGUUAUUUAUUUUAACAUUAAUUUAUAUGUAAAUUUAUGUCUACUAUAAUUUCUAAAUGGGAUUUUGGUAUUUGAUAUUGCAGUAGAUAAUUUUAUUGAUAUUAAGUUAAUUUAGAUUUGGUAAAUGUUAUUAGGUUUGGUAAAAGUUGUGCCAGCAUCCGCGGUUAUACAGCAAAAUCAAAUGAAUAUUUUUGGUUUUAAAGUAAUUAAUAGAUAAAUUAAAUAUGACUUGAAAUAUUAUAAGGUGAAAUAUUUUUAAUAUUUUGAGUAGUAUUUUUGUAGUAUGAUUGUUAUGAAAGUAAAAAUAUAAACUAGGAUUAGAUACCCUAUUAUUUUUAUUGUAAAAUUGAAAGCCUGAGUACUAGUAGCUAUGGUCUUGAAACUUAAAGAAUUUGGCGGUAUUAUAGUCUAUUUAGAGGAAUCUGUUAUGUAAUCGAUAGUCCACGUUGAACCUUACUUAUAUUAUUUCUUGUAUACCGCUGUUUAAGAAUAUACUUUUAGGUAAUUUUCUGGAUAUAAAAAUAAUUAAUAUUUCAAGUCAAGGUGCAGUAAUGUAUAAGUUGAAUAAUGGAUUACAAUAAAUUUUAUUUAUUAUGGAUAGUUAUUGAAAUUUAAUUUGAAGGUGGAUUUAAUUGUAAUUUUGUAAAGAUUAUUAAAAUGAUUUAUAGCUCUAUAAUAUGUACACAUCGCCCGUCACUCUCGUUAAUUAAGAUGAGAUAAGUCGUAACAAAGUAGGUGUAUCGGAAGGUGUACCUAGGAAGUUAAUACAGAU
rnacentral:ncRNA from 1 species